AGCUAAUGUGAGGUGAGCGCUCUGGCGCAAAAUGGCUGCCGUGCAUCACCCAGGUGGGUGCUACACAUUGGUGGUGGGUGAGGACUCAUCUCACAGAGGCGGACGUGCGACUCACCCUCCGUCCCGAAAACCUCCCCGCAGUGGUUACAGAAGAAGUGCUCUGGGUGCCAGGUCUGGUCCAUCGCGGUCAGGAUGUUCUGCCGUACGAGCACAGGCGCGCAGUGAGCCGGGUGCGAGGUCAGAGGUCAAAAACACAUGUGAAAGGACUGUAACCCUUUUAGAUGCUGCGAUGGUGUCAGUGCACGAUGUCAGCGAUCCCCGAGCAUUUUCAAUGCAAAGGGUUUCUAAACAAAAACGGAGCCAUGACGAAGAAAUCCUCCCUGAAUGAAGAAAUUUGUAUUUUGGCGAAAGUGGAGGUCUCUUUAGCAUUGUGAAAUUUGUUCCGAUGUCUGAAGGGUUAAGGCGUGAUUAUCUGGUGGCCGACGAGGGAAAGGGCGAACAGAAAGGUGGAUGGCUGGAUUCAGAUCAGUGAAGGAGAGAGAACGGCGAGUUCAUAAACAUUUCUUCCCGUUUACUCUGCGAAAGCGAUCAGCGAUCGUUCUCCGCGGACCGUUUUCCAGGUGUCCUGCCCAACUGUGGACGCAAAUGUGGAAUUUUCGUUUCGUUUUUUUUUUUUUAGUGCCGAAUUUGUCCUGGUAUGCGAGAAAAAAAAACGGGAGCGGUCAGCUGCGCCGGGGCCUAAAUCGAUCGGAGAAGCGCGUAAACAGUCCUGACGCGCCGCAGCUGAUGCCGACGGCACCCGUCCAUUUUCGCGGGACUUUGUUUGCGUUGGGCCCAAACCCAGACUGAGUCUGGCCCGCGUGUGUAAACAGGCGCGCGUUCAUCCAAACACAAACACACGCCUGUGC